CAGCAGGGUGGCCUCCAGCUUGACCUGUCCUGAGGUUGCAGUCAAGCUGUUGGUGGGGCAUGCAGUCCUCUGAGGCAGCAUUGCUUCCAAGCUGACGGUGGUUUUAAGAUCAGGCCACUCAAGAUGGCUGCUCUCUUGCUCUGUCCACAUCAGCAGUCCCCAACCACUUUGGAACCAGAGACCAGUUUCCUGGAAGACAAUUUUUCCACGGAUAGGGGGGCAGGGGCGGGGCUUCAGAAUAAUUCAAGUGCGUUACAUUUAUUGAGCUCAUUGAGCAGGAAGCAGAGCUCAGGCAGUAACUGUGAAGACAAAGCUUCUGUUGCUUGUUGGCCUCUCACCUCCUACUGUGUGGCCAGGUCUAGGCUGGGGAAAAGAAAGUGUUAGUGGCUCAGUCGUGUCCCACUCUUGGCAACCCCGUGGACUGUAGCCUGCCAGGCUCCUCUGUGCAUGGGAUUCUCCAGGCAAGAAUACUGGAGUGGGUUGCCAGGCCCUCCUUCAGGAGAUCUUCCCAACCCAGGGAUCAAACCUGGGCCCCAGAUUCUUUACGUCUGAGCCACCACCAGGGAACCCCUGCUCAAUAAGUCCCAGCCUCCUCUACACCCUCAUCACAUGACUGACCUUCUGUCUUAGUCACAGAGUCUAAUCUGUAAAUGCCUCCUUGCGCCAGGCCCCAGGUGCUGAUUGUUCUAAUCAUUAGAUCAGACCCCUCUACUCAGUUUAAAAGGAGCGGGCUUUCUGCUGGUUUUCCUGGUAACUGAUGAGCACACCUGAUGUCAGUUCCCUUGUAACUGGUAACCUCCCUUUGCCCCUGCUACCAAAGACUGCACGUCUUGCCCUGGUGUCUUUGCUGCUGUCUAUCGACUUGAUGGGGUGUUGCUCCAGGAUCCUGCUUCAGAUAAAUAAGCUCCCCCAUCCAUUAAAACAUUAAUGUCCCUGUUGCUGCCUUAGAGCUCUUUCUUCAGUCUUGAGGCUGGUAGGUGUGGCGCAAGGUCUGAGGACAACUUCUCAGUGAUCCUUGAAACACCUGACACCAGUCAGGACCACACUGACAGCCACAGAGCCAGAUGGUUACCAAAGUCCACUCCUGUGCAGCCAUCUGCAGUCCGCUAGAUCUUCAGUAAAGGAGCAAAAAUACUUUCUCAUGAGGAUUGUCUAACCAGGCUCUAUCUGCACCAGUACAUUGUGGAUAUUGACCAACUGUGAACCCCUCAGCCUGCCCUCUCUGACCUAGAAUGGGUCUAAGAGAGGGAAGCUCUAACUGGACUUGAUUACUGGUUUUCAAACUUUAUCUGAAAACCAUCUGGAUCACAUGGCAGAGUGAGAGUCGCUCAAAAUCUCAUGGAGGCCUUGUUAAUUAUGGGUCGUAAACAACAGCUCCAGAGUCUCUGACGCAGUACACCUGGGAGACACCCCCAGGAGGUUGAGACAAGAGACCCUGCAUGCUACUGGGGACACUGGAGGAUUGGCGGUGCCUGCACUGGUGUUGCACGGGGUGCCUAUCAGUGCUUUAGGACCUGAGUCUCAUUCUCCAGGAUCCCCUGGCACCAGAAAAUGGUUUCCAAACUGUGGAUGACUCUAUUGGUUGACUGUGCUAAGAUUGCUUCCUGUGCAGUAUUUGCUGAGUGGAGGUGCUGAAUAACUUGAAAAGUACAGCUCCUCAUGCAGUUAAAUGAGUUCGUGGUAACAGAUGCCUGAAAGGAUGAGGGUUAUAGAUACCUCUGCUGGGUAAUCCCUUUGGAAGUCCCCAGAAAUUUCCUUGGUCAGAUCUAGAGCCCUGUUAACUGUAUCAGUGCUGAGUAGCUGGAGGAAAUUAUGACUGUGCUGUCUUCACAGUUCUAGCUACCAUGAUCUCACUCUAUAUUUUUUGACUGACUACUAUUAAAAAAAGUAGAUGGCUUUUUGACUGGUAAUUGGAUAAUUGGGUAAACUUCCAAUCAAAGAGUAGAUUGUAGAUUGAAAGCAGAAGAG
ensembl:lncRNA